GACAGAGGGGGCAAGCGUUGCUCGGAAUUACUGGGCGUAAAGGGCGCGUAGGCGGGAUGGCAAGUCGGUCGUGAAAUCCCUCGGCUCAACCGAGGAACGUCGAUCGAUACUGCUGUUCUUGAGGGUUGCAGAGGAGACUGGAAUUCCCGGUGUAGCGGUGAAAUGUGUAGAGAUCGGGAGGAACACCGGUGGCGAAGGCGGGUCUCUGGGCAAUUCCUGACGCUGAGGCGCGAAAGCGUGGGGAG
rnacentral:rRNA from 1 species